rnacentral:rRNA from 1 species
GAUGAACGCUGGCGGCGUGCCUAGUACAUGCAAGUCGAGCGAACGGACGAGAAACUUGCUUCUCUGAUGUUAGCGGCGGAAGGGUGAGUAACACGUGGAUAACCUACCUAUAAGACUGGGAUAACUUCGGGAAACCGGAGCUAAUACCGGAUAAUAUUUUGAACUGCAUGGUUCAAAAGUGAAAGACGGUCUUGCUGUCACUUAUAGAUGGAUCCGCGCUGCAUUAGCUAGUUGGUAAGGUAACGGCUUACCAAGGCAACUAUGUAUAGCCGACCUGAGAGGUGGAUCAGCCACACUGGAACAAAGACGCGGUCCAGACUCCUGCGAGAGGCAGAAGUACGGAAUCUUCCGCAAUGGCACAAAGCCUGACGGUGCAACGCCGCCUGAGUGAUGAAGUUCUAAGGAUCGUAAAACUCUGUUAUGAGAGAAGAACGUAUGUGUAAGUAACUGUGCACAUCUUGACGGUACCUAAUCAGAAAGCCACGGCUAACUACGUG